GAGAGAGAGAGAGAGAGCUUAAGAUGUAGAGCCUAAGUUUUUUGUAGGAGUUUCUGGUUCAUGCUUUUAAAGAAAAACUUAAACGAGUUAGACAACCUCUCGUUAAUGAUGUCACAGUCAUAGAAUAUAAAAAAAAGUAUGGGCGUGCCAAUGGAGGGCGUAAAAGAAAAUCAAUUAUUCUGAAUGAGUCAAUGACUCAGAUAUUGCCUGCUAAGAGGCUCUGCCACUCGAUUGUGCAAGAAGAACACGAUGUCACUGAUGAUCUUUUGGCAUUACUAUCUGAAGAGAGCAAUAAGCUGCGUCCUGAUGUCCUUUUCCUG